UACGGGGGGGGCAAGCGUUGUUCGGAAUUACUGGGCGUAAAGGGCUCGUAGGCGGCCAACUAAGUCAGACGUGAAAUCCCUCGGCUUAACCGGGGAACUGCGUCUGAUACUGGGUGGCUUGAGGUUGGGAGAGGGAUGCGGAAUUCCAGGUGUAGCGGUGAAAUGCGUAGAUAUCUGGAGGAACACCGGUGGCGAAGGCGGCAUCCUGGACCAAUUCUGACGCUGAGGCACGAAAGCGUGGGGAGCGAACAGG
rnacentral:rRNA from 1 species